CAGCAGCCGCGGGAAUACGAGGGGGGCAAGCGUUGUUCGGAAUUAUUGGGCGUAAAGGGUGCGUAGGCGGUUUGGCAAGUCUUGUGUGAAAUCUUCGGGCUCAACCCGAAGCCUGCACGAGAAACUGCCGGGCUUGAGUAUUGGAGAGGUGAGUGGAAUUUCCGGUGUAGCGGUGAAAUGCGUAGAUAUCGGAAGGAACACCUGUGGCGAAAGCGGCUCACUGGACAAUUACUGACGCUGAGGCACGAAAGCUAGGGGAGCAAACAGGAUUAGAGACCCCGGUAGUCCCUGUCUCUUAUAU
rnacentral:rRNA from 1 species